GUCCUAGAGGGAGAGGGACAGGCCGUCGCCAUGUCACCGCCCCGCCCCGCCACAGUGAGGCUUUUGUGCCCUGAAUGAUGCAGGCAGUGGUUUGUGGGAGUCUGUUGGUCCUGUCAUGCAAGUUACGGUGUCACCUGUGCUGCUAGUAAGGUGUUGAGCAGGCUAGUGUGUGUGUGUGUGUGUGUGUGUGUGUGUGUGUGUGUGUGUGUGUACUGCAGGCAAGGCUAUUGGUACACCCGCCCCCAGCCGUGACGUACAUGUGACGUGUGUGUAUGUAUGUGUGUGUGAUGCUAUGCUCAUGCUGUGUGACGAGCCGCCACGUCACGGGUUGGCAGGCAGGAAACACAAGGAGUGGAUCAGUUUUGGCCAGGCUGUGAAGGUGACCGGGUGGAGUGUUAAUACUAUUACUGGAUUUGUAUUAAUAUUACGUUUGAGCGGCACAGUUUGUGUUGACACGACUUAUUACCGCAGUCUGCACAGCGGCUGCAGUGUGGCAAGCCUUCGCCGCCUCCGCCCCCCUGUCAGGUAUGGAGGGGUUAGGGAAAGGACGCCGUGCCCCAGCAGCUGCCCCUGACUGGCCAGCUGACCCCCCUUGAUGUCUCCAGGGCCGUGGUGAGGCAGGAGAGGACUCGAGGGUGCUGUCACAAAAACCGCUUCUUGUGCUGGGAGGAAGAGCUUUCGUGUGGCCCACUGUGCAAUCCCACGCUGCUGUACCACGGGUUGGAGAGUGAGAGAGUGGAGAAGAGAGAGCUGAUCAGAAGGGCUGUGGAAGUGGAAGGUGCCCUGUCUGAGUCCUGCCUGUCACUAUGACAUCCUCUGAGGAAUUUUGGGGCAAGUGGAGAGGCCCAGAGAGAAAAAUAUUUGAAGGAUGCUUAAGUGAAGAUAAUAUUUAAAGGAUUUGUGGGAAAAGGAAAGUGGAUGAAAAGACGUUUGUCUCGUGCCAGCGAACGUCCUGUCUGCAGUCGGACUGGUGGUGCCGUGUUGCAGGCUGUGACGUCAGGAAGAGCCAAAUGGAGGGUGUCUACAGCCAGAACUUGCUGCUGCUGCUGUACAGGUGUCACAAGCCA